UAGAUGACUGCGUUGAGAAGGAAAGAGAAGAAUGUACACUCAGCUUAUACCGUAAUAUGUAUAUUACAUCAUUCUGCGGCUACGCCCCAGGAUGCAGUAUAUCUCCCUCCUUUGCUUUGGAAGAAGCCAAACGCAACGUAGACAAGUUUUUAGUGAUCGGAGUGAUGGAAGAGUAUGAUCUCUCUAUGGCCGUCUUUGAAAAGCUACUACCAGAAACAUUUGGAGGAGCAGCGAAAAUAUAUGACGAGAGCAAAAGUCAACCGAUGACAAAAUUCAAAACGACCUAUAAGAAGCUUCCUUCUCAGGGAACAUACUCCAUUUUAAAAGAACGGAUGAAAUACGACUACAUGUUCUAUGAUUAUGUGAAGAAGCGGCUGCACAGAAUCGCGAGGAGGCUAGGCAUAGGUCAAUGCUCCAGUAUGUGGUAGUUGAAAUUAAACUUGAAAUUUCAUGCAUGGUAUUGUUUUUAACAUGAUCGCAAGGACUUUCAGGAAAUCAACAAAAACAUGAUGAUACAUAUAUUAAGAUUUUUAUUUUGCCAAAAUAUCUCUGGACAUAAUAUGUUUAUUGACUUCCAAUUAUAUAUACCUAUCUAAAAUCCCAUCUUGGGGCCACCAUCCUAUCCAAGCAUCGCUUAUGAUUGCGGUCUCCUGCAGUUUUUCACAGAUAGUUCGGAUAAUAGUUUAAAUUAAUAAUAAUAUACAUUAUAAUAGAAAUAUAAAGUUUCGUUAUUAUAUGUACAUAACAUUUUGACAUUAAGUGACUAUUGUUUGCAUAUUACCUUACGUUUAUAUGUUCUUUGUUAUUCAGUUAUUGUAUUUGGAAAAAUGC